rnacentral:rRNA from 1 species
UCGGCGGGCCCGCCGUAUGGCCGCCGGGGGGCUUCUGCCCCCGGGCCCGCGCCCGCCGAAGACAUCUCGAACUCUGUCUGAAGAUUGUAGUCUGAGUAAAAAUAUAAAUUAUUUAAAACUUUCAACAACGGAUCUCUUGGUUCCGGCAUCGAUGAAGAACGCAGCGAAAUGCGAUACGUAAUGUGAAUUGCAGAAUUCAGUGAAUCAUCGAGUCUUUGAACGCACAUUGCGCCCUCUGGUAUUCCGGAGGGCAUGCCUGUCCGAGCGUCAUUGCUGCCCUCAAGCACGGCUUGUGUGUUGGGCUCCGUCCUCCGAUCCCGGGGGACGGGCCCGAAAGGCAGCGGCGGCACCGCGUCCGGUCCUCGAGCGUAUGGGGCUUUGUCACCCGCUCUGUAGGCCCGGCCGGCGCUUGCCGAUCAACCAAAUUUUUAUCCAGGUUGACCUCGGAUCAGGUAGGGAUACCCGCUGAACUU